rnacentral:rRNA from 1 species
GAUGAACGCUGGCGGCGUGCCUAACACAUGCAAGUCGAACGGAUUCCAGCCUUUAAGACCUUCGUUUCAAAGAGGGGAAGACUGAGUUGCGUACGGGUGAGUAUCACGUUGGCAACCUGGCUCAUAGAGCGGGCUAUCAUAGCGCAUUUUCUGCUAAUACCGCAUAAGCACACACUGCCGCAUCGCACUGGGUGAAAAGAGAAUCGCUAUUAGAGGGACCCGCGUCGGAUUAGCCUGCUGGCAGGGUAAGAGCCUACCAAAGCGACGAUCAGUAGCCGAUAAGAGAGGAUGAACGGCGACAUUGGGACGGAGACACGGCCCAAACUACUACGGGAAGCAGGAGAGGGGGAUAUAGCAAAAUGGGGGGAACCAUGAUGCAGCGAGGACGCGAGAGUGAAGAAGUAUGUCGGUAUGUAAAGCUCUAUCAGAAGGGAAGAUAAUGACAGUACCAGAAUAAGAAGCACCGGCUAACUACGUG